AUAGAGAAUAGAGAUAGAAGAAUGGAGAAACAGGAAGAAGAAAGGAAAAGAAAAGAAGGAAAUGAAGAAAGGAUGGAAAUAAAACAAGAGGAAGAAGAAGAAUGAAUGAAUGACAAAAUACUGAGUUAGGGUUCUUCAAUUUCUAGAGCUAGCGACGUAAAAGUUUUGGAAAUGCUUGUCAAUAUAACCAGAUUGCUAUCCAUAGAUAUGUUGCAAUUGGGUUUUUAUAACUUGAAGAGUCUGAUGAUUUCAGAGUUAUAGCCAUAUGACAUAUUCAGUUAUAUGAUUCAUUUUUGGUAGAGCAUGAAGUAAUUAUUUUGGACAUAUUGCUUUGUAUUUUUCAUAAGCAUCUGAUUUUUGA